rnacentral:ncRNA from 14 species
CUUGGCCGAGUGGUUAAGGCGACAGAUUCGUAACCUGUUGGAGUUUCGCCGCGCAGGUUCGAGUCCUG